rnacentral:lncRNA from 1 species
GGUAUGAAGCAGGCAAAAAUGUUACUUUUGAAGGGGUUUGUAAUCUGCAUCAGAAAUGUUUUUGAGUCCUCUCACAAUGAAACUCUUUGAGCAGAUGUUUGCUGAUACGCUGCCUGUGAAUUCUAUGGAAAAAUAGUGCGCGUGCGCAAGCGCGUGGAGGGGAGGAACGCAGGAACAAGCAGGACUAACCGGUACAGACCGUGAUGCCGUACGGAACUGAUCCGAAGCGAGCCUGCUCUUCUCCCCUGUCAGCGUUCUCCUCCUCCAAGUAGAACACUUUGCUCUGAACUUUACAACUUCACGAUUUCCUGGUCAUCAUCAGGUACCUAAGUGUCAGCUGCUUAAGAAAAUGAAAACAAAAAACCAAACGUCAAACUUACCAUGGAAUAAAAACCACAGGUCCUCGCUUGGUUUACACACUGGUAUCCCCUUUCAGCACUUCCUGCAUCAUUGUUUAGAGACCAAAGAUUUCAGAAGGCAGUUGAGGGGACUGUUCUUCACUCCUCUACCUGGAUAUGUUUAA